CCUACGGGAGGCAGCAGUGAGGAAUAUUGGUCAAUGGGCGCGAGCCUGAACCAUCCCCGUCGCUUGUCUGAUGACUGCCCUACGGGUUGUAAACUUCUUUUAUAAAGGAAUAAAGUGAGGCACGUGUGCCUUUUUGUAUGUACUUUAUGAAUAAGGAUCGGCUAACUCCGUGCCAGCAGCCGCGGUAAUACGGAGGAUCCGAGCGUUAUCCGGAUUUAUUGGGUUUAAAGGGAGCGUAGAUGGGUUGUUAAGUCAGUUGUGAAAGUUUGCGGCUCAACCGUAAAAUUGCAAUUGAUACUGGCAGCCUUGAGUACAGUUGAGGUAGGCGGAAUUCGUGGUGUAGCGGUGAAAUGCUUAGAUAUCACGAAGAACUCCGAUUGCGAAGGCAGCUUACUAAACUGUGACUGACAUUGAUGCUCGAAAGUGUGGGUAUCAAACAGGAUUAGAUACCCCAGUAGUC
rnacentral:rRNA from 1 species